UACAGAGGGUGCGAGCGUUAAUCGGAAUUACUGGGCGUAAAGCGUGCGUAGACGGUAGCGUAAGUCAGAUGUGAAAGCCCCGGGCUCAACCUGGGAAUUGCAUUUGAGACUGCUCUGCUCGGGUGCGGAAGAGGGAAGCGGAAUUUCCGGUGUAGCGGUGAAAUGCGUAGAUAUGGAAGGAACACCAGUGGCGAAAGCGGCUUCCUGGUCCGACACCGACGUCAG
rnacentral:rRNA from 1 species